CUUUUUACACUGUCUGAUAGUGAUAGCACAAGAGGGAACAGCUUUGAACUAAAAGAGGGGCGAUUUACGUUGGAUGUUAGGUGGAGAUUCUUUACUCAGAGAGUGAUUUGGCACUGGAACAGGUUACCCAGAGAAGCUGUGGAUGCCCCAUUGCUGGAGGUGUUCAAGGCCAGGUCGAAUGGAGCCCUGGGCAUACUGAUCUCAUGAGUGGCAAUACUGCCCAUGGCUGGGUGGCUGGAACUAGAUGACAAGCUAAGCCAUUCUAUGAUUCUCUGACUUAACAAGAAGGUGUCCAAUAGAAGGUCUAGGGAGUAAGGUCACUAAGGUUGCACCCAUUCAGUUCCAACUGAAAAGUUACCAGAGGCACUGGUUUAAGUUCAGCCACAGCUGAACUUAAAAAUUGGAGUAGCACAGCUGAAGGGAGACAAGAGUGGAGCAGUCCUGGAGGGGCCUGUGUUACAGCCUGUUUAUGUCACUUGAUGUAGUCACCUGUGUUUGGGAGCAGUGUGGAGCUACUGCAUCCAACAAAGAGCAUCAAGAAACAUCAUGACCCUACACACAGUCUUCCUUGAACUCCAGAGUGCCAGUUCACUUCUGAUCUAUUGUUCAGUGAAGAGGUUUGUCCUUAGGGGGAAAUGUUUGCUCCAAGAGCUAGGGCUAUUUAGUAUUUGAUUAUCAGCCUAGGAGAAAUUAGUCAAAUAAGGCUCUGGCUUAGUGAACACUUAUGUGUAUGUUUAACCUUCCAUUCCUGAAGAGUCCUUUAGAUUUCAAAGUGCAAUAAAAUAAAGUGUGCCAACA
rnacentral:lncRNA from 1 species